UUUGAUUGUUGUGGAGCACCAGCCGCUUGUGGGAUCGUUGGAUUUGGCUUCAACAAUAGAGGAAUUGAAGAGUUGUUAGACAACUCAAUAUCACAAACAGAGUUCGAGGUCAACAGUUUAUUAGAAUCUCCAGUUUCUACGUUAAUAAUCUCCGUAUUUGCUAUUGCAAAUGAGGGCAAGAAGAAAAGAAGUACGAAUAUAAGCCUGAACUCUCGCAUUCGGAAAAACACAGGUCAAAGCAAUUCCAAGUAUUUGGUUCUUAGUCAGAGAUG